GAUGAAGAACGUAGCGAAAUGCGAUAAGUAGUGUGAAUUGCAGAAUUCCGUGAAUCAUCGAAUCUUUGAACGCACAUUGCGCCUUCUGGUAUUCCGGAAGGCAUGCCUGUUCGAGAGUCAUUAACAACCGUUUCGAUCCCUUUCUUUCAGAAAUUACAAAGAGGAAAAGGGUUUGGUUAUGGUGGAGGAGGGAAAGGGAGCGUUUAGCCUGUAAAAAAAGAGGCUGUGUUCCGCCUCCCCCCCAAAAUUGUACAGGCGGUCGUGUGCGCCCACGCAUCGAGGUGUUGUAAAAGCUGCCACGGCACUUUUCACCUGUGCAGUGCGAGAUUGGCCAGCCGGUUUAAAAACCCCUCCAAACAAUCAAAGGUUGACCUCGGAUCAGGUAGGGAUACCUGCUGAACUUAAGCAUAUCAAUAAGCGGAGGA
rnacentral:misc_RNA from 1 species